rnacentral:lncRNA from 1 species
UUAAAAUAGAGUAUAUUCAUGUCUGACAAACUUGACUGAGUAGCAGAGUAGGUAGAUGGUACAAUGUUUUAUACCAGUUCUUCAACAUUAAUUUCUGGUGUAGGCUGCGCAACCUCCCCUUCCACUUCCACCUUUUUGGUCUCUUGGGUUUUAGCUAAUUCCUCCCUCGUGUUAUUCUCCACAGCCGAUGCAGAUCACUGUCGAACCACCAGUAUUAAUCAAAAUUAGUGCAUCUGUACAUAAUAAUGUAAGAAAAUCUGACAAUUCCCCAACCUAAUAAAGAUCUGAUAAUAGUAAAGACUUGCAUAUUCAUAACACCUUAUUGUUUAAAUGAUUUUGUAUUUGUACAAAAUUUUCCAUUUGGACAAUGAAAAGCAGAAAUGUUUCUACUGUCGAUUAUUUUCUACUGUCGAUUAUUGACAAUUUUUUUUUUUGGUUGAUUAUCGUAGCAAAUCUCACAAUAAGUUUUGACUGACUUCACAAUAAGUUUUGAAUGACUUCCAUUACAUUGGAGAAUAUAAUUAAAUUAUGAAUUGCACGGAAGAAAUUAAAAUAUGUAUGUGUACAUACUUUAAUAGUAUUAAUCAAAAUUAGUGCACAGUAUUCAUCAAAAUUAGUGCAUCUGUAGAUAAUAAUCCAAGAAAAUCUGACAAUUCCCCAACCUAAUAAAGAUCUGAUUAUAGUAAAGACUUGCAUAUUCAUAACACUUUACACUUGAAACUCUUAUUAUAAUGUGGAAACUUUAUUGUAAUAUGAUUUUAAUGUGUGAUGAAGGUGAUGUAUAUCGUUAAGGCUAGCUACUGAAAAUUUAACAGCAAUAGAAUUCCUGUUGUGCAGUAGAGAAUUUAGAUGACUGGCUUUUAUGCAUUCAGUUCCGUAUCUUAAAAAUUUUCCAUUUUGAUAAUGAAAAGCAGAAAAAGAAAAGAAGAAAUCUAGUAAUAACUUUCAGCCAUCUUCAUGGAUGGCUUAAGAAGAUUUUGUAUCUGUACAUUCAUAUGUCAGAAAAAAAUUUCUAUCAUACACAGUAUUAAUCAAAAUUAGUGUAUCUGUAAAAACGAAGAAAAAAAAUAAAAUAAAUGAUUUACCUCUUCAUUCCAACUGGGGAUAGCUUUAAAGAAAGGCUGGAAUAUUGCGUGAUGGCUUUGAUCUG